CCGCAACUUGUAACAAGCUUGAUGACAUUAUCAGACUUGUUACAAGGUUGUCCUAACAGGUCUGAUACAGUCAUGAUAUAACAAGAUUGUUACAAAGUUGUCGACGCAAGGUUGUUAAAAUAUUGUUAUAUCAUGACUGUAUCGGAGUUGUUGGAACAACCUUGCAACAAGUCUGAUAAUAUCAACAAGGUUGUUACAAGUUAACACGCAGAUUCUUCCAAACUUGUUGACAACUUGGGACAAGCAGUGCGAACACAACUUGUUGACGGCUUGUUGGCAGACUUGCUACAAGAUGUGAGAUUUUUACGUGUGUAGUCAAAAAUUAAAACCGGCUAUACGAACGAAUAAACAAUCAUAAGCAAUUUUGUAUUAUAGA